CACGUAGGGUGCGAGCGUUGUCCGGAAUUAUUGGGCGUAAAGAGCUCGUAGGCGGUGUGUCGCGUCGGCCGUGAAACCUGCAGCUUAACUGUGGGCUUGCGGUCGAUACGGGCAUCACUGGAGUUCGGCAGGGGAGACUGGAAUUCCUGGUGUAGCGGUGAAAUGCGCAGAUAUCAGGAGGAACACCGGUGGCGAAGGCGGGUCUCUGGGCCGAUACUGACGCUGAGGAGCGAAAGCGUGGGGAGCGAACAGG
rnacentral:rRNA from 1 species